AGGAAAGGAAUAGGACUAUGGCCUUCAACCCUGAAGAUGAUCUGUUCUGCUGUCCAAAAGCAGAGCAACAACUUUUAAAUGCCAGUCAAUGAUGGAGUUUUUAUUGGUCUAUGUGAACUAAGAAAGAUAAGGACCAGAUGUAGUAAGUUUUUCAUAAAGGAAAGGAUGGUAUGGGCUGCCAUGAAGAGGACGGAGUGAUGGGAGA